rnacentral:rRNA from 1 species
AGCUGGCACAUGCAGUCGAACGAUGAAGCCCAGCUUGCUGGGCGGAUUUGUGGCGAACGGGUGAGUAACACGUGAGUAACCUGCCCUAGACUCUGGGAUAAGCCCGGGAAACUGGGUCUAAUUCCGGAUAGGAGCGCCUGUCGCAUGACGGGUGCUGGAAAGAUCUUUCGGUCAUGGAUGGACUCGCGGCCUAUCAGCUUGUUGGUCACGUAACGGCUCACCAAGGCGACGACGGGUAGCCGGCCUGAGAGGGUGACCGGCCACACUGGGACUGAGACACGGCCCAGACUCCUACGGGAGGCAGCAGUGGGGAUUAUUGCACAAAGGGCGAAAGCCUGAUGCAGCGACGCCGCGUGAGGGAUGACGGCCUUCGGGUUGUAAACCUCUUUCAGCAGGGAAGAAGCGAAAGUGACGGUACCUGCAGAAGAAGCACCGGCUAACUACGUGCCA